GUGCUCGCUUUGGCAGCACAUACACUAAAAUUGGAAUGAUACAGAGAAGAUUAGCAUGGUCCUUGCGCAAAGAUAACACGCAAAUUCGUGAAGCGUUCCAUGUUUUU